rnacentral:lncRNA from 1 species
AUAUUGACCAAGGCCUUAAUCCGGUCGGGGCGCAACAAGCAGAACCACCAGGCCAUACUGGCGCCCCAGUCGUGGCCCACGAGGAAUACCCUGUCCAGGGCGAGGGAGUCCAGGAGGGCAACCAAGUCGCCGACGAUGUGGAUGACGGAGUAGCUGGUGGGGGAAGGCGGAGCGUCGGUGUCACCGUAGCCGCGGAGAUCGGGGGCGAUGGCACGGUAGCCGAGGGAGGAGAGAGAAAGCAUCUGGUGACGCCAUGAGUACCAGAGCUGAGGGAAGCCGUGAAGAAAGAGGAUGGGUGGGCCUUCACCUAUCUCUGCUACGUGCAUAUUGAUUCCGUUCACUUGAAUGUUUUUGUGCUCUAUUUUCUCCAUCUUCUUUCUUUCUUUCUUUCUUUCUUUCUUUCUAAGUACUGAAUUACUAUUAAUUUUUUCUCUAUCUAUAAGCUAAAUAGCUUAUGAAUGAAUGCUUCUGUUCUGUUCUCUUCUUUUUUAUAGAGAGAAAUGACGAUUGUAGCUAGAAGAAAUAUAUAUUUUUAUAAAAUAUUAAAUGUUUGUGUGAAAAAGAGUUCCUCUGUAUUUAAUGGUUCCUAAUUGAAUCAUUUUAAUGUAUUUAAAUGUGUAAUUAUGGCUUCACCACACAUUUUUUCGGUUUUGGGAUUGAGCAUAUUAUACCAAAUCCAAAUAAUAAGUAUAAUUAUAUUUGGUAUAGUAUUAUAUUUGGUCAAUGAUUGAUAACACAUUCUAUUUACUAUGAAUUAAAAAUGGAGAAAUACUAUAUCUACCCUCUAUUAUAAUAUUACUAGCGAUAACCGUGCCUAAAGGCACUGUAUAAUUCAAAAAAAAAAAAUCAUGAACACACAAAAAUGAAGCAUUGAAUAUGGACACACACUAAAUUAAAAGCCUAAAUUAAUUCUUAACACACCCGCACUUUCCAUACAUACUCUACAAAGUAUUUAAAUAAAAAUUCUUAUGAAGACAAAUUUCAAUGAAUAAAUAAAUAAUAUCCAACUUUAAUAGUCAAAUUCUCAUAAAUUUAAACUAAGUUUAACUAUAUUUCAAGAUUUAUUUUUUAUAAUUUAUAAGCCUUUUUGAUUGAUUGUAACUUUUUAAAUAGUAACUUGAUAAUUAAAAAUUAUUGUUUGCUUGUUAUAACAACAUUUUUUUUUGUCGCACGUAGAUGGGUAUACAGCUUUGCAGAGCCGUAACUUGAUACAAAAACUGAUUGCAGGUCAUUAUAUAAAUUUAGAAUUAUCUCAGUAACGAAGUUUAAAAAUGAAGAACCAAGACAAAUAAGAGAGAGGGAGAGGUCAAACAAAUAAGGUGACGAAUGACUAAUGGUUAAGUUAUAUGGUCAAUUUUACAACUUGCUUGCAGGAUCAAAUCUUUAUGAAUUUUUAUCCAUAGAUAUAUGGAUGACCCAUGUAGCUUCCUUCAUUAGAUCAAUCAAAUAAUGGUAAACAACUAUAAAAGGACAUGCAAAAACAAAACUUUUUAAAACAACCAAAGAAAAAACACAUCCAUCCAUGCCAAAAGGAAGGCACAAGAGCACACAGUGAGGUCAAUAGAUGAGGUCACCCACAAAAAACUUUUCCAAAUAAGGGAAAUGGGAAAUAGGAAAUAGGAAAUAGGAUGAGGGAACAUAAACUUAUAUAUAGUCUUACUUUGACCAUCUAGGCAAAAUGACAAGGGCUCCAACAGGGACAUGUCAAUAAAAACAUAUAAUCUCAAGCCAAAUUUUUUUAAAAACAAUUGUUCUCCUCCAACCCAGAUCAAAAAAUACAGAAGAUGAAAAACAACAAGAAUUUACAAUUUCAAAUCACAUGUAUUCAAACAAAUUUUAAAAAAUGGGUAAAUUCCAGCUGGCUCAAUUACUUGAUAUAAUUGAAGUAGCAGUAAAAUAAGAAACAUCAAUCAAACAUAAAUUUUGUUAGCUUAAGAAUAUGAGCAAUAAAAGUAAUAACAAUAUAGAAAAGCUUAAAUUUUUUUCAUGCCUUGAGACACCAGAGAAGACAAACAUUCACCCAAGGAGGCAUAACAUAGCCUUUUGACUCUAAACUAUGAUUUUGUUUCUUUCAUUCUUUCUUGGGAAGUCAGAAUCAACAUAAUGAGUACACCCAACAAUCAAUAUAGUUCUAUUUAUUGUUUUAAAAAUAAAGAACACCCAUAAAUCCAUUUAUCAAAAUAAAAAAACUGAACAAAAAACAAUAACCACUAAAAAGGGGAAAAGAAAGGACUCAAAACUUUUCAAUCAAAUUUCUGCUAGUUUAUUCUACUUUCUCAGUUACCAAACAUGUCCAAAGUUUCAAUUGGUAUUUCUGAUUAAAUACAUAUAAUAAAGUGCAUUCAGGCAACAUGCUAUAUUUAUUAAUUUAUGAUAAUUAUAUCAAAGAUAUUUGAAUUAUUAUUAUAAUAAUAAUUAAUUAUUACUUGGUAGAAAUAAAUUAGUGUAGAUAAUAAACACACAAAUGUUUUAUAUUAACAUUGAAAUUUAAUAAAUUGGGUAGUGUAAAGUUGGUUGUAGUUUGGCAAAAUUUUCUCUUCAUUUUUAAUUUUAAUUUUAAAAUUAAAGAUAAAAUUUAAAUAAUAUUUUUUAAUUAAAAAUUUAAUAAUGAUAAUGUGAUACACUAAAAAGGUUAAGAAUUUUACCCUACGUUGUAAUAUUAAAAUAAAAAAUUAUAAUCAAAUUUAAAAUUCGAGUGACUUGUUCUAUCUAUCCGUCCGUCUAACUUAGGAAGGCUAUAGAAUAUGGAAUAUGGAAUACGAAAUAUGAAAUAAUGGAAGAUUGGAUUCAUCGUGAUAGACGUACGUCAUUGGAAUACAUCAUACAUUAUAGUAAGUUAAGUUAUGAAAAUUGUUACUUUGCACUAAUUUCAUAAUUCCUUAUAUUUAAAUAUAAUUGCCUAUUUUUAAGAAUAAUAAAAAAAUUUACGCUACUUUCGUGAAUUUAUUUUCAGUCAUUUUAGAGUUUAUUAUACACUCUUGUCUUGUUUACUUUAAAUUUUCUAUUAAGGGUUAAAACUCUCCCUUUCAAAGUUUCACAAAAAUUUACUUUUAACUUUAAAGUAUCACUUUUCUCAAUGUUAAUUAAUUUUUUUUAUAAAACUGAUUCAUUUUAAGUGUGUGUGUUCAAAUAAUGGUGUUUUAUGGGAAGUGAGAGAGUGAGAGAGUAAGAUGAUGGAUGUGAGUUUGAAUUUUUGAGAGAUAAAUUUUUGGCCGUCGGAUGUUGAAGCCCCAAAUGAUUUUAGAUCGUUGGAUGUUGAAGCCUAAAUUGAUUUGAGGUCGUUGGAUGUUGAAGCCUUGGGAUUUGAGCCGCUCUAGAUAUAUAGUUGGACAUGGUACUAAAUACUUCCUCAUUUCAAGUCAUUUUAUUAUCCCGGAUUAAUAGUCACAUGUCAAGUAUAAUACUUACAAUCAAACAUAGCCUAAGGAUAUAGUUUUAUUCUAUCUUUACCCNNNNNNNNNNNNNNNNNNNNNNNNNNNNNNNNNNNNNNNNNNNNNNNNNNNNNNNNNNNNNNNNNNNNNNNNNNNNNNNNNNNNNNNNNNNNNNNNNNNNGUAGCCGCGGAGAUCGGGGGCGAUGGCACGGUAGCCGAGGGAGGAGAGAGAAAGCAUCUGGUGACGCCAUGAGUACCAGAGCUGAGGGAAGCCGUGAAGAAAGAGGAUGGGUGGGCCUUCACCUAUCUCUGCUACGUGCAUAUUGAUUCCGUUCACUUGAAUGUUUUUGUGCUCUAUUUUCUCCAUCUUCUUUCUUUCUUUCUUUCUUUCUUUCUUUCUAAGUACUGAAUUACUAUUAA